rnacentral:lncRNA from 1 species
CAUCCCUCUUCAGUCUGCAUUCAGACCUGUUCCGAUGCAUGAAAACAAACAUGAGUGUAUGCUUGUUUUCUGCUCCACCGAACACAGAGCAUGAAACCUGCAUCUAUUCUGAUAGGUCUUAAAUCACCCGUCAAGAUGACUGGGGGACACACGGGGAAGACCAGUGCCUCUGGCUCUUGAGGGCAGACCCUCUGGCACCCUCUGGUGGGGAGGAGGAGAAGACA